UACGUAGGGGGCAAGCGUUGUCCGGAAUUAUUGGGCGUAAAGGGCGCGUAGGCGGCCUGAUAAGUCGGGGGUGAAAGCCUGUGGCUCAACCACAGAAUUGCCUUCGAUACUGUUAGGCUUGAGACCGGAAGAGGUAAGUGGAACUGCGAGUGUAGAGGUGAAAUUCGUAGAUAUUCGCAAGAACACCAGUGGCGAAGGCGGCUUACUGGUCCGGUUCUGACGCUGAGGCGCGAAAGCGUGGGGAGCAAACAGG
rnacentral:rRNA from 1 species